AACGCACAUUGCGCCCACCAGCACUCUGGUGGGCAUGCCUGUUCGAGCGUCAUUUUCCACCCUCAAGCCCUGCGGGCUUGGUGUUGGGGCUUCUACGGCGGGGCUCGCCCCCCGUAGGCCCUUAAAGUCAGUGGCGGGCUCGCUAGCACUCCGGGCGUAGUAGCUUUUUACACGUCGCCUAGGGGGUCUGGCGGGCAACCGGCCGUAAAACCGCGACUGCUGUCGCACACUUUAUAGAAGGUUGACCUCGGAUCAGGUAGGAAUACCCGCUGAACUUAA
rnacentral:misc_RNA from 1 species